GACGAACGCUGGCGGCGUGCUUAACACAUGCAAGUCGAACGGAAAGGCCCUGCUUUUGUGGGGUGCUCGAGUGGCGAACGGGUGAGUAACACGUGAGUAACCUGCCCUUGACUUUGGGAUAACUUCAGGAAACUGGGGCUAAUACCGGAUAGGAGCUCCUGCUGCAUGGUGGGGGUUGGAAAGUUUCGGCGGUUGGGGAUGGACUCGCGGCUUAUCAGCUUGUUGGUGGGGUAGUGGCUUACCAAGGCUUUGACGGGUAGCCGGCCUGAGAGGGUGACCGGCCACAAUGGGACUGAGAUACGGCCCAGACGGCUACGGGAGACAGCAGUGGGGAAUAUUGCACAAUGGGCGGGAGCGUGAGGCGGCAACGCCGCGGGCGGGAUGACGGCCUGCGGGUUGUAAACCGCUUUCGCCUGUGACGAAGCGUGAGUGACGGUAAUGAGUAAAGAAGCACCGGCUAACUACGUG
rnacentral:rRNA from 1 species